AGAUUGCUAGCGAGCCGUCAGAGCAGCUUGCCGCAGCUCAGGCGGGCUCCGCAGAAAGAUGGCGUUUGCUAUCAAGGUCACAUGGCCACUUUAGGGGACUAAAACGAAAUACUAGCUGAGAACAACAGGAACUGCCAGCACAGGAUCAGAUUUUCAGAAGCAGUCUCAAUUCUAAGUGUCUUUUUCUAAUUAGAAUCGUAAGCACAUUUUUUUGUAUUUGUCCGAACACAUGUCCUAAGUCAUCAAAACUAUGUGAAGGGGUGGAGUUUCACUGGGGGUCUUCUCUUUCCGGGAGCCUGAAAAGGAUGGGAGGAGGGUGGGGGAAACCCAAGGGCCAGGGUAACCGCAGAACCGGAAAGCAGCACGUGCCAGGACAGAAGGCACCCACUAGGGUCUCUGCACUGAGAGCAGUAUGGGAAACCGAUUCCACCAGGGACUGUGAAACUCACUAGAUCUGUUAGGCUGGUGCAAAAGUAAUGGCGGUUUUUGCCGUUAAAGGUAAUUGCAAAAACCGCCAUUACUUUUGCACCAACCUUCAGGUUCGGGUCUACGCAGCUUUGUCUAACCUCUGACCUCUCAUGAGUUGGGAAAGGUUACCCUGGCAAAAAAGGAUUUGCUUAGGUGCCCUAUACAUUGUACCAGAUAACUUCCUCUAUGAUUUUUUUUUUUUUUUUUGAGAUGGAGUUUUCACUCUUGUUGCCCAGGCUGGAGUGCAAUGGCACGAUCUCGGCUCCUUGCAACCUCCGCCUCCCGGGUUCAAGUGAUUCUGCUGCCUCAGCCUUCGAAGUAGCUGGGAUUACAGAUGAGCAAACAGACUCGGAGAUGUUAAACCCUUCAACCAAGGUCAUCCAGCUAGGAAGAGGCAGAGAUGGAUCUGAAUGCAGGUUUUCUGACCCUAUAGUCCAGUUAUUUCAACUUUCUACAUCUGAGCUGUUGGUUGGAAAAUUCCUUCUUGGAGACUGAAGCCACAGGGCUCAUCCUGGGGGCUGGGGAGAAGGGAGGAGAAGAUCUAAAGGUCAAACUCCUCUCCUUUCGUUCCCACUCCCUUCUCCUCCCCACUCCCUGUUUCCAAAAAGAAUUUCAGAAUGCAGUCUUGUUUUGUUGAAGAAUGCCCUGGCGUGAGAUGUCCUUGUAGAUAAGAAGGAAAAAUGUGGGGUGAAGACAGGACAGUUGGGUGUAUUCACAGCUGGUGACUAAUGGAUCUUUGUCAGCCUGGAGGGAGGUCCUUUGCCUAGCCAAUAAUUUAAUUAAUGACUUGGAUGAGGACAUUGAUGACGUGCUGAUCAAAUUUGCAAAUGACAUGAAGCUGGCUUCAGAAAGAUCCCAAGAGUCCAUAAUGAACCAGGAAGAUGAAAUGUAAAGUUUCAUAAUUAAGUUUUUAAAACCAAAUGCUUAAGUGCAAGGUAAGAGAGACAUGUGUGAAAAGGUUUUAAGUGUUUGGGGUGAUUGUAACCUCAUUAUUUUUGACACUAGCUGCCCCGAAUGCUAAUAUGUUAGGGUCUGGAAUGGGGGAGAUUACAGUUCUGCUUUCCUCUCUGCUCAUUAGACCACACUGGAUGACUGUCUUUAGCCUUGGAUUACCAUAUAUGAACAGGGAUGUUAGCAGCCUGGAGCGUGUACAAAAAGCAAGAGACCAGGAGUGUGGGAAGACUUGAAAAUCAUUGUGUAUGAAUGACUGGAGCUCUUUAACCUGGAGUGGGGAUCAACAGGGUGAUGAUGGUGGUUCAGGAUCCAGUUUUCAAAUACAGGUUCAAACUAUUGGGGUAGGGCAAGGUGAUUCACGCCUGUAGUUCCAGCACUUCAGGAGGCCAAGGUGGGAGGAUCACAAGAGCCCAGGAGUUGGAGACCAGCCUGGGCAACAUAGUGAGACCCCUUCUCUAGAAAAAUAUUUUUAAAAAAUUUUGGCUGGGUGUGAUGGCACACGCCUGUAAUCCCAGCACUUUGGAAGGCCGAGGUGGGUGGAUCACAAGGUCAAGAGAUCAAGACCAUCCUGGCCGACAUGACAAAACCCCGUCUCUACUAAAAAUACAAACAUUAGCCGCGUGUGGUGGUGUGUGCCUGUAGUCCCAGCUACUCGGGAGGCUGAGGCAGGAGAAUUGCCUGAACCCAGUAGGCGGAGCUUGCAGUGAGCCGAGAUCACACCACUGCACUCCAGCUUGGGUGACAGAGCAAAACUCCAUCUAAAAAUAAUAAUAAUUUUAAAAAAAUAAAAAAAAUUUAAAAAGAGAAAACAAUACAAGUAUUGGAAGAGUCCUCAUAUAGAAGGGGGAUUCACCUUGUUUUGCUUUGUAACAGCGUGCAAUCAGGAGCAAUGGGUGGGUACCGUGGGAAAGCUGAUUUUGAAUCAACAUAAGGUAGAACUUCAUAAUGGUUUGAGAUGCUAUAAUAUGCACUAGUCUUUUUGGGGAGGACAAGAAUUUCCUAUCAAUGGAAGUAUUUAAUAUUUAAGCAGAGGCAAAAUAACUACUUGGCAAAGAGAUUGCAGAAGGGAAUCAAGCACCAGAUCAUAAGGGAGGGGAACUAGGUAACCAUUAAGGCUGCUUUUUCUUUUUCCUCUUUUUUUUUUUUUUUUUUUUUGAGUCAAGGUCUCUCUAUGUCACCCAGGCUGGAGUGCAGUGGCUCGAUCACAGCUCACUGCAGUCCCGACCUCCUGGGUUCAAGUGAUUCUCCCACCUCAGCCUCCUGAAUAGCUGGGACCACAGGCAUGUACCACCACGCCUGGUUAAUUUUUUUGUUUUUUUUUUUUUUAGAGACAGAGUGUUCCUAUGUUGCCUAUGCUGGUCUCAAACACCUGGGCUCAAGAUCCUCCCACCUCGGCCUUCCAAAGUGCCGAGAUUAUAGGUGUGAGCCACCGCACCUAGCCUAAAGCUACUUCUGACACUAUAAUUUUGAAAUUCAAGUUGGGGGGGUGGUUGGAGGCGAAAAUAGUUUUAGCCCUCAGAGUAGGUACCUCUGAACUAGUUAUUAUCUCUGCUUCCAGUCUUUCCUCCUCUAAUUCACCUUGCACGUAGGCUCUAGAAAUAUUUUCUUGAAUACUCUACCAUGAGACCUUCCAGCUCAAGUAUGAUAGAAUCUCAGUAACCCUAAAGGUCAUCUGGUUCAGUCUUUUAUCAGAUGCUUUCAUUGUCUGCAUCAUCCACAUGGAGUCCCUGCUUGAAUAUUUCUGGUGAUGGAGAACUGCCUACUUUUAGGGGCAGUCCAUUUUAAUUGCAGAGAGUACUACUAAUACUAGAAAGUUCUUCCCAAACAUAGCAAAAUGCUUAUGUUUAGAUGUUGGGAUUAGGACAUUUUUCUUCUGUUUUUGAAACUGUUGGUAAUACAUUUUAAAGGACUUCAAGAGGCUGGAAUCAGGAGCUGAAACUUUUAUUAUAAUUUUUCAUCAUAAAAAAGGAAGGAAAAGGAGCAUCUUCCUCAUGUUGAACCCAAAUCUGCUUUCCUAUAAUUUCCAUCCAUUAGAUCUUGGAGCCCUGAAGUCACGCAGAACAAAUCUACUGUGAGCCCAGUAAUUACUCACUGACAGUAGACAAAUUUCUCCUGGGAUUCUUCAGUCUUCUCACUCUUCUCUGGAUAUACUUUUGUUAACAUCUCCCUUGAAGUCUGGUGCUCAUAACUGAACACUGGGCAUCAGAUGUGGUCUGAUCAGUGCAAAGUAGCACAAGAUGAUCACCUCCUUUGUUCUGAAAGUUGUACUCUUAGUAAUAUGGCCCAAGGUCACAAUACUUUUUACAGCAACCAAACCACACUUUCAACUCAUGAGCUUUCAUUCACUCUAAAAUGCCUCUAAGCCACAUCUCUCACAUCUUACAUUUGUACUGCCACAUUUUGAAGUUCAAAUAAGGGACUUUACCAACUUUGUGUAAUUCGCAAAUUUGAUCUAGUGACAUUAAAACAGAACUAUUUUGUAUGUAGUCAUUCAACCAGUUAAGAAUUCGCCUAGGUUUACCUUUACCCACCCCACAUGUAUACAUGUUUUCCCAAAAGCAUUGAGAGAAUGUUUGGUUGAACUCUAGAUACGCUGUGGGUGAUAACUUUUCCCUCCUCUACCUGUCCAGUCACUCUGUCAAGGGAAAUGAACCCAGUGGGGCAUGAUUUGUUUUUCCUGAAUCCAUGUGGGGACUGAGUGAUCGUCGCUUCCUUUUGUAAGUGCUCACCAACCAUCCUUUUAAUCAUUUGUCCUAGAAUCUUGCCCUCAAUCAAUAUCAAAUGUAUUGAUCUAUAAUUUGUGGAGUUUACCUUUUCCCAUCUGUCAAAGUGGGGCCAUGUUUACCCAUCUCUAGGCUGCAGCACGUAUCUCUUCCCUUCUUCAUGGGGUUUUCAGGGCCACCACCAGUUGUCCUGCAAUUUGAGCUGCAAGUCCUUAAGUGCCCUGGGAUGCUACUGACUCAGACAAUGAGAUGCAGUUACUCAAGGCAGCUUACGGCUCUCUUGAACUAGACUGCCUUCAGGAGUUUCUCUCUGGUGUUCACCUUGUCCUUUCUAGUCUGAAAAUCGUUUUCCUUGCAGAAGAGAAGGAGUGAAAGAGGAGCUGAGGAGGUUUUGUUUUUCCACCAUAAAACUAUUGGCAAAAGAGUUCAGUCAGGGUGUCCAGUUGCUCAAUCAAUAAUUGCCAAACUCUUCUGUUGUGAAGAUCUUCAUGAGCUGCCUUACCAAGCUAAUUUCCCACCAUUUUGGCCCAUCCCCUCAAGCACACCUAGACCUUCUCAUCUCCAUGAUUUGGCUGAGGUUUCCCUCCAAUUUGGAAUGCCCACUACUCUACCCACCCACCCCAAUCCCAUCAUAGCCUUUCUUACAGUUUCUCCAAUCCAUUUAACCUUUACCAUACAAUUGAAGCACAUGCAUUUCAUUCAUUGGAUUGUGGUUCCGUUUUGUCUUCCUGACAGUACACAACCCAAAAUAGGUGUCUUCUAUCCCCCACAGUAUGUAAACUAGCACAAGGCCAAGCCUACAGUCCUGAUAACCAUACUUCAAGCUAUGGAGAUUUCCACAGUGACCAACCUCUGACCCUUCACACACACUACAAAUUCAGAUCAUAUGAUAGCUGUGUCCAACUCCUUAAAGGACUAAAAUAGAAACCAGAUAAAUCUAGGGAUGUGGACUGACCGAAUCUAGGCACUAAUGCUUUUUGCAAUGUUAAAUAAAUCCAAGUAUAUCCUCAGCUUCACUUCAAACAAGGAGCUGGGCAUUUUAGCUGGACCCAGGGCUGGCCAUCAGCAACAGGGCUGAGAACCUGAGGCUACAGGGGCACAGAAUUGACUGUCAAUUAGAUUGAAAUCAUGCCUGUCUUGGAGGUCACCUCUUCCACCUAGACCUUUCAAAGGUGUGAAGACCAAUUGUAAUCUCUCACUGAUGGGUCCCUAAUAGGAUUGGAGCUGGUUUUGCUAUGGCGCCUUGAGUUCUUAGAGGAGAGGCAGUGUCUAAAUCUUCCCAAAAUAGAGAGCACUCCUAACUUGGAGGUACACUCCCCACUAAAGAACAGGAGGCCAGGUAUGGUCUCAAAUAGGAGGCCACGUAAUAUCUCAAAUGGAGCAAUCAAAGGAUGGAACAUAAGAACAAAGACUCUGAAUUGACCUCAAAAGGUCAAUUGGGAGGCCGAGGUGGGAGGAUUGCUUGAGCCCAGGAGUUUGAGACCAGCCUGGGCAACAUGGUGAAACCCCAUCUCUGUUAAAAAAAAAAAAAAAGUCAUAUAAUCUAGCUCUCUGCUUUCAGGAAGAUGAGAAAUACCAGUGCUUCCCUUAGUAGCCAUUCACUCAAUUUGGCAACUGCGAUUGAGAACUCACUAGGUGCUUGUGAUCAUUUCCUAUUCAUAGCAAAGUUAUUCCUUGUAUUUCACUUGAUCUCAUUUUCCCCUCUAUCAUUCUCAAAAGAAACGGAGAACAGGUCAUCAGCUCUGUCCUUAUUUAGGAGUUAAAUUUUGAAGAUGGGUAUAGCACACUUUUCACAUGGUAGGUGCCCUACAACCAUUGAAUGUUACCUCAUCAGCUUUUUCCUUUCUAGAUCUCACACACACACACACACACACACACACACGCAUGCACACACACACAGCACCUAGUCCCGUGGCAUUAUUUAUGCUCUUCUCCAGACCCUCUCUAGCUUUCCACUUUUGCUAAAAAUGUGUUGGCCAAGGGUAGACCCAUCAUGCUUUGAAAGGUAUGACCAAUGGCAGGUAGAGUGGAACGAGUUGAGUGGGACUAUGGCAAGGGUCGUGUAGUGCUGGGUGGCAUUCUAGGUCUGUUUCUAAUACUAACUGUGACGGGCUUUUCUGGGCCCAUUUCCUCAACUAUAAAAUAAAUGGGUUGGACUAGAUGACUCUCGGGUGACUUCUGGUUCUAAAACUCACACUUGGAUGACUUCUCAGAUCCUCCAUGCUGUGUUUUUGUUACUAUAUGCAGGAUCCACAUUAGUUUUGGAAAAAAGAAAGGAAAGAAGGGUGUGAGGAAAGGAGGGGGAAAAACCAGUUUUACACCAUGGACUCACUUGUGAUGUACCCUUACACCAUCUCCCCAGUUCUUCUUCUUUUUAACUAUACUUGUGUCAAGUCAAUCACUGCCCAUCUCCAGUGUACCAUAUUAGUGUAUUAGUUCUAGGUUUUGGUCUUUGUACACACUACCUGUGUUCGUCCUCUCUGAACAUGGUCCUCCUUGUGAUGGUUCAUCUCCCUCAUUUUAUCAGGGUCAUUUGAAGAAUUCUAUUCCUGCUUUCUGAGGUAUCAGCAACCCCACCCAACUAUCAUACUUGCCGAGCACACUCCCAGUUCAGUCUUUCAAGUCACUGAGAAUAAUAUGAAAUCCCAUAAUGCUAACCCUGUGAGGCCCCACUGAAUCCAUGCCCCAGGGUUGAUAGGGAGUCACUGAUCACAAUCCUGUAGAAAAAUCGCUCCCAGGGCCCCAAGGACUUCUCCAGUUCUAAUUCACAGAGCAGCAAACAAGUAUCCCUGGGGAAGGAGAGGGCCUCUGCUCUGUCAGUCACUCAAGGCCAGGGAGUCCACGUCUGACGCUGCACUGGAUUCAGAUAGGAGAAAGAAUUUCAGCACGUUAGAGGUCAAACCUCCUCCCAGCCCCCAGUCCAAGGUGAGGGCAGGGUGGUUGCAGCAGAGGAGGAGGAGGAGAAGUAAGAGGAGGAGGAGGCCGCAGCGGUGCAGAGAAGGAAGGAAGUAUUUUUGCCAUUUCAUUAGGAGGCCUGAAGUGCUGAGAGGAGGCUUCAGCUGCAGGAACCCAGCGCGCUGGGGGCAGGGGGAUGGGAAGAGCAACCUGAUUAAGAUUGGAGAGGCCUUCAUGCAGGGGCCCCCAACCCCCAACCCCCAACCCCCAACCCCCAACCCCGCACAGUGCAGCCCAGACUCAGCUUAAAGAUACAGGAGGCAGGGGGAGGCUGCCUGAUUGCCUGAUUCCCAGCCCGCAGAGGCACCCUGUUCGGAGGUCUGUUGGGGCAAGGCCUGUGCAAGGGAGGCAGGUUGGGAGUGCUAACUGGAUUUUUUAUUUUUAUAUCAAGACACUGUGUUUAAAAUUUUUACAAAGGACAAACUCCAUGGGUUUCCGUUAGUGUUUUAAGAACUUUUCUUUAAAAAAAAAAAAAAACCAACAACAACAAAAAACACCGCCUUUUUGAAAGAGAAAUGACAGACACAAAAGACUGUAAAGAAAAUGGGGCGAAUUUCUGAUAGCAUUUCCCCAAGGGCAGAGGCAAAACCCAGAUCAGACCUGGGGGCCCAAUAGUGAUGUGGCUUCCAUAGUACGUUGUUCACCAAAUCUAAGGUCACCUGGUCUGGCCAGGCCAAUGCUGUUGGCCUUUGGGGAAGCAGGUCACCCUGCAGGCUCUGCAGCCCUCCACACGGACACAGAGAGAGUUGGAGAUCUCUCCCCUACGACCCUCCAGCUCCAUCCAGUGCUAGCCCCUUUCUCCUUCCACCCCAUGGUCUUGCUUAAAUCUGUUUCCUUCCUGGGGGUCUUGUUCCUUGGUCUGAUUGUGUGAGCACUGGGGGUCCUAGAGCCAGAGAGACCUUCGGGCCUGAAGCCCUCCCUUCCAGAGGCUCUUAGCACUCAUGGGUUGGAAAAGCAUUUGUUCCAAAAUUAAAAAAGAAAAAUCAACAAAACAAGACCCAGAAAAAAGACCAAGUCCUGGGGAGGAAGAGCUAUCCUGCUCUUUAAAGCUCCCAAGUCUGGAGUUGGUCGGUGGUGCAGUUCCAAGAGAGGCCGAAGGCGAGCACCAAGGGGGUGUCCAGCUGUUGCUUUCAGGCCCCCCAGGAGUGUCUGUGGUCAGAUUCAGGGAGCUGGCUUCAGCUGCUGUUUCAUGGGUCCUCGGUUUACCGAGGACUCAUCUGCGUCCCCAUUUAAAGGGUUUGUUCAGGUUUACUUCCGUAUUUGUGUUUUUGUACAUGCGGGUGCAUGUCCACAUCUGUCUAUGUUUGUGCAGGUGGAUCUGCUGUAGGGUGUGGGUGCGUGCGUAUACAUAUAUGUGUGUGUGUGUGUGUGUCUGCGUGUGUGUGUGUGUGUGUGUGCAUGUGUUCCUGGAUCUGGGAGGGAGGGAGCCUGGAGAUUGGCUGUGCUCUGAGUUGGAGCUAUACCCGGGUAGUGGAGUGUGAGUGGGGCAGCCCGGUACUGUUGAACCCUGCGGCAAAGGUGUUAUAGGGGUGCAAUGUCUGCAGCCCUACCAGGGAGUUGGGGAUCAUAGUGAUGGUGUUGGGGGUCAUGAGUGGGAUGUCAUCCGGGGAGCGCCGCAGGGUCAGGGUGUAGUCGGGCAAUGCAGUGAGGCGCAGCGUGUCAUGGGGGGGACCGGCCUCACACUCGUGGUGGGUGGGGCCCAGUUGUAAUGCUGCCAGCUCCUCCUCUGGAGCAGCUCCCAACUCCGGGGCCCCGGCUCCCCGCUGAGGGCUAGGCUGCCGCAGGGGCUCCUGGCGCCGUUUGUCCUUACGGUAGUAGAGGGCAGCGAAGGCCAGAACGUUAAGGAACAGGAGGGAGGCCCCCACGGCGAUGGUGACACUUAAUUCAGUGGAGUAGUCACGAGGGUUCUCCACCAGGAGUGGCCCUGCAUCCUGGUCCCCGUUCCAGGACCCCUGGGCAUUCUCGUUGCUGUAGGCAGGUGAGAUGGCUGGCCGCUUGGUGCUCCAGGUCUUGCCAUUGGGCCUGCGGGUGAUGUGGGAGCUGUGGGUGGUAUCCGGAGGCGGCACUUUGGUGGUGGUGGACGUAUAGUGGAACAUGUCAUGCAGGUUGUAUAGGUGGGGCACCAGAUGUUUCCAAAAGGCCACCUUAGUGGCCCGGUAAUGAUCUCGGACCCUUGGUUUCAGCCCGAUGUGAAGGUAGAGCUGGUCUCGGGGAUUGUAUUUGGACCAGGCCACUUCCUCAAAGCGGUUGGCCUUGGUGUGAAUGAACUUGGUGUCCUGGGGGACCGGCUUGUUGGGAUCCCUGAAAUACCACAUGGAAAUCUGGGGUCACCACUCUAUCUGGAUGAGGAAAAGGCCCAGCAUUUUUCCUCUGACAGCCAAACCUCUUUCCCAGUUUAGAACUUCCCACCAUUUCCAUCUUUUUCAGGGUCCCCUGCUCUGCCCACACCUGCUUCUUCCCCAGGGCUUGAACUCCUAUAUCCUCCUUCCCGGCGCUCAUCCUUUAAGAUUAAGGCUAUAGAUGCUUUUUCUUUGCACAUGCUACUGAGCAUUUAUCAAUCUUUUCAGCUGCCCAAUUUUGCCAGGAGCCCCCUAAUAAAGCCUCUUUCUUUUAUUAAGCAAGCAGAAGUUGCUGAACCCGAAGUCUCUUUUUCUUUCUUUCUUUCUUUCUCUUUCUUUUCUUUCUCUUUCUUUCUUUCUUUCUUUCUUUCUUUCUUUCUUUCUUUCUUUCUUUUUUUUUUCUCUUUCUUUCUUUCUCUCUCUUUCUUUCUUUCUUCCCUUUUUCUUUCUCUCUCUCUCUUUCUUUCUCUCUUUUUUUUUCUUUUUUUUUUUUUGAGACAGAGUCUCGCUCUGUCGCACAGGCUGGAGUGCGGUGGGGCAACCUCGGCUCACUGCAACCUCUGCCUCCUGGGUUCAAGCAAUUCUCCUGCCUAGGUAGCCGGGACUACAGGCACCCGCCACCACGCCUGGCAAAUUUUUUGUAUUAUAGUAGAGACGGUGUUUCACCAUGUUGGCCAGGCUGGUUUCGAACUCCUGAGCUCAGGCAAUCCACCUGCCUUGGCCUCCCAAAGUGCUGGGAUUACAGGCAUAAGCCUCCGCGCCUGGCCCUGAAGGCUCUUUCUGAAGCACUGCAUUCCUAUUUCACAUAGCCUGUGACCAGCUAACCUUGAAUCCCAUAGUGUGUGUGUGUAUAUGUGUGUGUGUGUGUGUGUUUAAGAUAAGGUUUCGCUCUGUCACCCAGGCUAGAGUACAGUGGCGUGAUCACAGCUCAGUGUAGCCUCACCCUCCGGGGCUCAAGCGAUCCUCCCACCUCAGCCUCCCAAAUACCUGGGACUACAGGCAUGCACUACCAUGCCUGGCUAAUGCUUUUUCUUUUAGAGACAGGGUCUUUCUAUGUUGCCGUGGCUGGUCUUGAACUCCUGGGCUCAAGUGAUCUGCCUGCCUUUGCCUCCCAAAGUGCUGGGAUUACAGCCGUGAGCCACUGGGCCUGGCUAAAUCCCAUAGUUCUUCCAGUAACCCUCAUUCCUUCCUAGUCCCGAUGCUAACUGAGUUCUAAGCCUCAACAACAUUUUUGAAGGAAGGAAAAAUGGCAUGAAAGACUCAGGAAGGGGAGAUAGGAAGAUGAGUGAAGGGGUACCAAGCAAGAUUUUGGGAAUAUCUUAGGAAGGGAUAUGAUGGAAGAGGUUUAGCUAGAGGAGCAGAGGGGAGGGCAUGCUGGGGUCUCAAAGAGGAAAAAAACCCUAUUUUCUCCUUACCCAGUCUUGGCAAAGUUGGUCCAAUAGGUCAUGACGACAGCACUGAGCAUAACAUCAUUCUUGGAGAAGUUGCAGGGGAAAAGGUCAGUGGGGCCUACCAUAGGAACCCCAAAAACAUAGGGUACUUCAUCCCCAUGAGCUGCAUCUGACCAAGCAGGCUUCAUGAGGCUCUGGCAGUGAUGAUAGAAGGCGUAGAAGUAGGUAGGCGAGCCGUAGCGGGCAUGCAGAUCGGCUGUCACCACUGAGGGCUCCACCCACUGGUGGUCAGUGAAGAGUGCCACCAGUGUUUUACGGCGGGUCUCAGGGUUGUCACGGUCUGCCCAGUCUGUAUACAUGAACUUGAUGGUCUCUCGCAGGGUGUCCUUACCCUCAGGAUAGCCAUACAGAUUGUCCACAAAAUUGGAGACGGAAUAGUCAAAGUCAGUGCCAGAGACACCAUCCUCAGGGUCCACCACCCCUUCCACAAACUUGAGACCCUCGCCCUGGUUGACACCUAGCAUGAUGUCAUAGUUGAGGAACUCGCCCUGCUCCAUGAGGAUCUCAGGGUCAUCAGGAAUGACAUCACCAUCAAUCACAGGGCCAAAGGCCACGUGGUAGCGGGCUGGCUGGAUGUCCUGCUCUACCAGCUCCUUGGCACUCUUUUGCCGAAGACAGUCCACCAUAUCCACGGUGUCCAGCACAUUACAGCCCACUUUGUCUGCCAGCAGGCUGGUGUACUUCACUGGUUGGUAGUUCACAGCCCAGCUGGACAGAGCAGAGCCACUUUGGAUGAUGGCUCUCUGGAAAAGUCCUACAGAAGACAGGUAGCACCAGGUCAGAUCUGUCGUGUCACACAUAGCCAUAAAUCUCUUCAUUCCUUUGUCACUGAGGCUGCCCCAUGGUUUAAAUGGGCUAGGAAGGGGGAACAACUCUUUUGGCAGGGGAUGAUGUAGGGCCAAAGGAGGGGUUGCUGAACCCCUUCCUUGAUGGCUUCCACCAUCCCUUCCCUGUCCUGGUGCGAUGGCUGGUAACUUAGGGGUUAAGGCAAUGUCAGGAAGAAUUAACCCCUUGAAUCCCAGACAUCAGCCCCCUUAUGCCGCCUCUCUUUAUCUCUCCUUGUCUUCCCCUCUUGCUUCCUGCCCAGCUGGGCCCAGCUCCGUGCCAGCGCACCACCAGGGAGCUGGCACUUGCACCACAAAGGAGUCUUUUUCAUGAGAGAUGAGAAAUGCAGGCAGGCAAGAGCCCCACAUUCUGAGGGCUUGGGGAAGGAGCCCAAGGGCAAAGGCCUUCGGGUCUGAAAGUCUCCAGGGAACCUGUGCUCCCCGUCUGUGGUCUCCACUGAUACUUUGUUUUUUUUUUUUUUUGGAGAUGGAGUUUUGCUCUUGUUGCCCAGGCUGGAGUGCAAUGGUGGGAUCUCGGCUAACUGCAACCUCUGCCUCCCAGGUUCAAGCGUUUCUCUUGCCUCAGCCUCCCGAGUAGCUGGGAUUACAGGCACCCGCCACCACGCCCGGCUAAUUUUGUAUUUUUAGUAGAGACGGGGUUUCACCAUGUUGGUCAGGCUGGUCUUGAACUUCCGACUUCAGGUGAUCCACCCGCCUUGGCCUCCCAAAGUACUGGGGUUACAGGCGUGAGCCACCGCGCCUGGCAGAGACUUUCCUUUUAUCUGAAGCUACCGAUACUUCAAAUUCAGAUUUUCCCCUAGCAGAGAGGGAGCCAGUCCCCCAAACUCAAAAAGAAAAUAAUUUUCCCCUCUAGAAAAAAAAAAAGGAUAUCAUUCUCUCCCUGGCCCCAACAUUCCCAAGGGAGAAUUUGUCCCUCAGGCACAUAAUUCCAUUCCUUUAAGAGAAAGCCAGUUUGCAUGAGUGGAAAGAGAGGGAAAGAAAUGAUAGAUUACUACUUAAAAGACAGCCUCAUUUUCCCAAAGAUUAUUCUCCAUGCAUCAAUUACAGAAAAACAGAGAGAACAGAUCUUUAAAGAAGUCAAACCUCGGCCAGGCACAGUGGCUCACGCCUGUAAUCCCAGCACUUUGGGAGGCCGAGGUAGGCAGAUCGCUUGAGCUCAGGAGUUUGAGACCAGCCUGGGCAACAUGGCGAAAACCUGUCUCUACAAAAAAAAAUUUAUCCCCAAAAUUAGCCGGGCAUGGUAGCAUGCACCUGUAGUCCCCAGCUACUCUGGGGGCUGAGGCAGGAGGAUCACUUGAGCCUGGGAGGAACAGGUUGCAGUGAGCUGUGAUCACACCACUGCACUGGGGGACAGAGCCUGGGGAACAGAGCGAGAUCUUGUCUCAAAGAAAAAAAAAAAGUCAAACCUCCAGAGACACAGGCCCCCUAUGAGACAAAGCAUAGCACCACUCCAGGAAAGGCUUUCUUCUCCUAGGGGAGGAGUCCCCAGUCAGAGGAGGCACAGAACGUCUUUUCAGGCCAAGGCACCCUUGCAGCCCGUCAUUUCGCCCUCCUUUGGGGAAAAAGGGAAGAUUCCUGUUCCCACUAUGGUCACCUAGGAACACAGUCUCUCUCUUUAGAGAGGCAGAUCCCACCUAAGUCUUCCCUCACCAGGGUAGUCCCUGGAGGGGCAAAGACAGAAUUUCUAGGUCAAAGAAGGUGGUUCUUCUCUCUCAGAGAGACAGAACUUCUUCAAGAGAUGGAAAGUCUUCCUGUGAGAAUGUCCCUAACUCAGGGGGUUAGUGUUCAAUUAAAAAAGAAAAAAAGCAUCCUCGCUCACAGAUUUCCUUACUUCAGAAAAGGGCACCUAUUUCAGGAAGAUCUUUUCUUCAUGAGAAGCUCAGCUUUGCCUCUCAGAGAUAGAAUGUUCCCAGUAGUCCAGAGGUGGAGAAAACAUUUCCUGCCGAGCAAAAAGGACCUAUUCUGCUCUCUUGGAAGGGUCACUGGCAAAGGGACCCACCACAAGGAGAGAGGCCAAAAAUGAGAAUCUCCCCGGCAGCUUGCACAGUCGGGGAGAGGUCUGGAGUCUGAUAAUAGACCAUCGUCCUAUGGAAGAAGCCCACCUCGUGGGUUAGUGACUCUCAUUUCAGACCCACUUCCCCCUCUAGGAUGUUUCCCCUCUUGUACAGACUUGUUCUUCAGAGAGAAAGGCAGAGAAUGGAUGUUUCUUAGACCUAGAAACCAAUUUCCACCCUAUAUCUCUACUGUGAAGUAACAUGUCCUUCCCAUACUGAAAGAUCCUCCCCAACCCCUGUCAAACUAUUGUCCUCUGAGGGGACAAUUGUUCUAUUCCCACUCCCCAAAAUAAGACUCCCACAUCAGAAGGAGAAUCUUGCUUUCCCAGGACAUAAAUGGGAUUCUCUUCCUUCCCUCUCCAGCUUUGGGAGAAGUACUUCUCCCAGAGAAACAUUUCUCUUCCACUUCUUGCCAAAGGGAUACCAAGCUGGUAGAAGAGAGCUGGCCGAUUCCCUUGGAUGCCCUGGGGCAUGGAUGGGGCAUGCUGGGACAGCCGGCACUUGGCUAGUUCAUGUUUUGCCCCACGAGUUACUCACCCUCUGAGUGAUGUGACAACGUGAGGAGGCUGACGCAGGAUGCACCAAUGCCCGAGCCAAAGACAGUGAUCCGGCGGGGGUCUCCCCCGAAGAAGGCAAUAUUCUCGCUCACCCAGCGGAGGGCCUGGAUCUGGUCAAGGAGCCCAUAGUUGCCCUUGGCAGCCUGAUCUCCAGUACUCAGGAAACCUGGAUUCAACAAAGGGCAUGAAGACAAUGAAGGCAGAGGGAUGGAGGAUUUGGGUGAUGACGGCAGGCAGGGUCAACAGGGGAGGUGGGAAUAGAGAAUGAGCACGCAGUGUAGUUCUUCCCACAUAGUUAACUUAAAGCAGUGCUCCUUUCUGCAAUGUCCAGCAUCGUCAACAGAGGAGGGGUCAGCUCCCUGCCUCCCACCUGUUAUCCAGCUUGGAAGGAGGGGUCUGCAGACCAUUUGAAGUGCAUGCCUCCAGGUGGGAGACAAACUGCAGAAACUGCAAAUGUCCAGAACUCAGCAUUCUCUGCCCUGAUGUACUAUUGGGGACCUUACCCUAACAUCUGGCAAGAUAGAAUGGAAACCCUGGAGUCAGACGGUCCUUGAUUUGAAUCCUGGCUCUAUCACAUCUUAGUCAUGUAGCCUUGGGCACUUAAUUUAAAAUCUCUGGGCCAUAGUGUCCUCUUCUGUAAAAUGGGGAUAAAAAUACCUCACAGGGUUGUAACAAGGAUAAAAUGAACAUAAGCAUCUAUAACAUGCUGGGCACAUUGCAGCUCUAUAGUUACUUCUCUUUCCCCUUUCUUCUCUCUCCAAAGGAAGUGUAGAUGAUCCCAAGAGGCAACAAUCCCUAAGCUCUCCUUGCCCUUCCUGUUCAAAUCAGUCCCUCUCCACUUCCUUCCGGGGCCUUGAUGGCCCCCUUCCCCUCAUUUUCAGGGCAGGUCCUCAUUUCCCUCCCUUGGAGGCCUAAGGAAUCAGAAACUCUGGGGUGGGGCCCAGCAAUCUGUGUUUUUAACAAGCUCUCCAGGUGAUGCUGAUACCUGCCAAAGUUGAGAAACCACUGGGUCAGACCAUCUUUUUCAUCUGGUGGAGAAAUGGGGAAGUAGCGCAGUGCGUUACCACAGAAACAGGUCUUCCCGCCCCCCCACUGGAAUUUGCUGCUGAGGAGACAUGUCACCAUGGAGACUACCUUCCCACCCACCUGCUGGGAUUUGCUGCUGUGGAGACUUGUUGCCAUGGAGACUACCUUCCUGCCCACCUGCUGGCUAUCCCACAGAGAUGUCCUAUAUUCCCCCCUACUCUGCUUCCAUUUUAGACUGAGCCUGCGGCCUUAUUUCAUCUCUCUUCCCUGAAUCCUUGGGUCCCUUGGAAGGCUCUGUCUUCUCCUGCCCUAGGCUUUUGGAAGAAGUCUUUGGAGGUGGGUAAUUGUGAAGCUCCUACACAUUGGAAACCCACACUUGGAUCAGUAUUUUUUACUCCCCAGUUAAAAGCUCAUUCACAGCACCUGGAAUCAACUUUGUGAGAGGCCAUGUUGGAGAAGACUCCCAGAGCUCAUGGGGAGUUCUCUGGCGUCCUUGCAGUCCAUAGGCAGAGGCUGAAUUCAAAUAGACUCAAACAGUCACAAGACCUCACCACUGUCUUUCUCAAGUCCUUCUGUACCUAGCUUCUGCAAAAGAGCUCAUCUCAUCCUCUUCAAGUGUGUUAUUAAUUUACCUCUGGUACAAUUAAGUAUGUAAAGUACUUAGUUAUUUCUCCCGGGCCCUAGUCACAAGUCCUCUUUAGCCCCAGGUUCCAGAGGAGGAAAUGAGAAUGAAUUAGAGAAAGCCUGCAUGAGGAUGAAGAAGGAACCCUUGCUCUUCCAGACAAGGAAAUCAGCUUUUCCUUUGCGUGGCCCAUUCAGAAAUUGAAGCUGCUCCUUUGAGUCUUAAAAACUUGGCCAGGCAUGGUGGCUCACACCUGUAAUCCCAGCACUUUAGGAGGCUGAGGUGGGAGGAUCACUUGAGGUCAGAAGUUUGAGACCAACCUGGCCAGUGUAGCAAGACCCUGUCCCUUUUUGUUUUUAAAACAAAACAAAUUAGCCAGUUGUGGUGGUGCAUGCCUGUGGUCCCAGCCACUCAGGAGGCUGGGGCUGGAGGAUCACUUGAGCCUAGGUGUGAAGGCUGCAGUGAGCUGUUAUUACCCCACUGCACUCCAGCCUGGGGGACAGAAUGAGACUCCAUCUCUAAAAAAGCAACCAAAAAAAAAAAAUCCCUCAAAACCCCAACUCUGUUGACCAUGAUCCAACCCAGCUGCCCAAGCCUUGGGACCCUCUGGCAGAAAUCACUGUCCUUCUUUUAGUCCUCCCUCCUCUCUCCUUCCCCUGUAUUCUCUUUUCCUUUUCUUUCAUUUAGGCAAUAGUGGUCUUGGCUUCAGCCUUUGCCAAGGCAUCAUUUACUGAAAUGUGUCAAACAUGCCUGGCCUAAUCAGCAGGCAAAGCCUGCAUUUGGAUGUAGUAGAGCAGAUUUCUCCAAUGUACCAAUUUCCUGGGUUAGGAACAAAGGCCUGAAAGGGCUGGAUGGAGGAUUUAUUUAUUAUUUAUUUAUUUUUUUUUAGAAGGAGUUUCACUCUUGUCGCCCAGGCUGGAAUGCAAUGGCAUGAUCUCGGCUCGCUGCAACCUCCGCCUCCCAG
rnacentral:lncRNA from 1 species